rnacentral:tRNA from 1 species
CGCUCGGAGUGCCUCAAAACCACAGUGCGAGACUGUCAAUCUUGAGGUCGCUGGUUCGAUCCCGGCUCGGGGGA